rnacentral:misc_RNA from 1 species
GAUGAAGAACGCAGCGAAAUGCGAUAAGUAAUGUGAAUUGCAGAAUUCAGUGAAUCAUCGAAUCUUUGAACGCACAUUGCGCCCGCCAGUAUUCUGGCGGGCAUGCCUGUUCGAGCGUCAUUUCAACCAUCAAGCCCCCGGCUUGUGUUGGGGACCUGCGGCUGCCGCAGGCCCUGAAAAGCAGUGGCGGGCUCGCUGUCACACCGAGCGUAGUAGAUUUCAUCUCGCUCAGGGCGUGCUGCGGGUUCCGGCCGUUAAACCACCUUCAUAACCCAAGGUUGACCUCGGAUCAGGUAGGAAGACCCGCUGAACUUAAGCAUAUCAAUAAGUGGAGGA